GGUUCCAGUUCUUUGGUAAGUAAAUUGUGAUGGCAUUAACAAAAGAAAACAGGCAAUCCUGUAAACCUUUGUUACCUAAAUCACUGAUUUUGGGCAUUCCUCUACUCUUCUGCGACCUACAGUAACUUUAGGAGCAGCAGCGUGCUCUGCUCUGGAUACCCCCUCCACCCUGUCGUUACUUCAAAUUAGCCUUGUGUUGCUCCUCAAAGGGUUUGGGGAAUGUAGACUGAAGCUCCCUUGAGCAACUCCUAAACAAAUUUCUCUGCAGUUUUAUGGCUAUACUAGAGCUUGGUGGUUGCUCCAAUCGUUAUUUGUGGUGCUAUUAUAAGUUGAUGGUCCUUCCUUAUCCCAUGUAUAUACCAAAUUUUAGAAUCUUAUCUUCUUUCCCAUAGAAAUAAAUAUAGGAAAUACCACAGAGAUGAACAAAAGUUGCUGAAACAACCAGUAAUUCAGAAGUUGUACACCAAAACACAGAAAGCUCACGGAAGGAGGAAUUUCGGAUUGAGGAAUGGAUAAAAUUCCAAUGAUAGCAAUUCCAAUAGUAGGAAUAGUUGCAGUCGCCGUGACUUUCUAUGCAGUGAGCUUUAAUGAGAUUCGCGAGAAAUCUUUCAAGGAUUAUGAAGAUUCAGAAAAUGAUGGAGCAUUCAAGUCUUCAUUGAGUUCCAGGGAAAGAAGAGCCAGAAAAAAAGCUGACAAACAAAAUAGAAGGAAUUAGUCAUGACCACAUACAAAAUACUAUAGCUCAUUCUGCAAUCUUGCAGUCCCUUGAUUAUUUUCUUCCGUUGGUGUGUUUGUGCUUGCAAUUGUGUGGCUAUCCGUCUUUGAUUUGUUAGCGUUGGACAUCUGGAAUAAAUGGGAAAUUCCAUAUUCGUCUAUUCCCGUAUUAAUCUUUGGAUACCAGUUAACAGCAUUUGGGUUGUGGUGGUGGCGGUACGCUAUUGUCAGCCCCCUCAGCAUCAAGGUAAAAUCUUGUUCGGAAUUAGUAUUUUUAUUCGGAAUAGUCCUAGUAAUCUUGUUUGUCGUUUCAUUUUGUGUUUCCUACAUGUUCCAUAUCCCAAGUUAAUCCACAUUUGUCCCUGAUGUACUACAGCCAUUAAGGUUUGGUAUUCAUGCAGUAAAUUAUAGUCUUCAUUGCGGAACAAAGUAACAGCUUCAUCCCCAUUCAGAGAAAUGAACCAAGGGAGAACAGAAGUAACAUUCAUCGGUUACCUCCUCCAAGGGGUGUCCUUACGACAAAAAUUGAUGGCUGGCUCAUAUGAUAAUAAUGUUACAAAAUCUGGUGGUAUGGCUGGCCAAAAACAUAAGAUAAAAUAAAUAAGUCCACAGAAAAACCAGAAACACAGGCAGGUACUUAACCAACAGUGUAUCCCUCAAUUUUUCCCAGAGUAAAACAUAUUGUACCUGCAAAUUUUAAUCUUCCCAGUAUUGUCGUCAGUGCAUAUGCAACCAUCUCCAUUGUUCACUAUUUGUACCUGUGGGAGAAUAUGACGCACAAGCAUGGCAAUACCAAUACCAAUACCAAAUUCAUAUUCAUCAACUCCACUUGACGAAGCAAGCCAUGCCUCGCUGUGAGGAAAUUCAGAAUUUCUUACCAGCUUAA